rfam:Glossina palpalis gambiensis isolate 146720 unplaced genomic scaffold Scaffold290, whole genome shotgun sequence.
AAAUCGGUUUUUUUUAAAACUACGAACCCAAAGUUGUAAACUUUCU